rnacentral:rRNA from 1 species
CUGGUUGAUCCUGCCGGCGGCCACCGCUAUUGGAAUUCGAUUAAGACAUGCGAGUCGAGAGUCGCAAGGACUCGGCGGACCGCUCAGUAACACGCGGAUAACAUGCCCUUGGGUGGGGGAUAACCUCGGGAAACUGAGAAUAAUACCCCAUAGAUCUAGAAAGCUGGAAUGCUUUUAGAUCGAAAACUCCGGUGCCCAAGGAUUGGUCUGCGGCGUAUCAGGUUGUAGUGGGUGUAACGGACCCCCUAGCCUAUGACGCGUAAGGGCCUUGAGAGAGGGAGCCCUGAGAUGGACUCUGAGACAUGAGUCCAGGCCCUACGGGGCGCAGCAGUCGCGAAAACUUCACAAUGGGGGAAACCCCGAUGAGGGAAUUCCAAGUGCCAGCACAUUGUGUUGGCUGUUCUCUGGUCUAAAAAACCGGAGAAGUAAGGGCCGGGUAAGACGGGUGCCAGCCGCCGCGGUAAUACCCGCGGCCCAAGUGGUGGUCGAUAUUAUUGAGCCUAAAACGUCCGUAGCCGGUCUUGUAAAUCCUUGGGUAAAUCGACCAGCUCAACUGUUCGAAGUCCGGGGAGACUGCAAGACUUGGGAUCGGGAGAGGUGAGAGGUACUUCUGGGGUAGGGGUAAAAUCCUGUAAUCCUAGAAGGACCACCGGUGGCGAAGGCGUCUCACUAGAACGAAUCCGACGGUGAGGGACGAAGCCCUGGGGCGCAAACGGGAUUAGAUACCCCGGUAGUCCAGGGUGUAAACGCUGCGGGCUUGGUGUUGGGGGUCCUUUGAGGGCGCCCAGUGCCGGAGAGAAGUUGUUAAGCCUGCUGCUUGGGGAGUACGUCCGCAAGGAUGAAACUUAAAGGAAUUGGCGGGGGAGCACCGCAACGGGAGGAGCGUGCGGUUCAAUUGGAUUCAACGCCGGGG